GAGAAAGACAGCUAAGACGCAGACACCACAGUACAUCAACAUUGGGAGGGGAGAUCAAGGAGGCCUUCUUGGAGGAGUUAAUGCCCGAGAUGUGAGCCAUUAAAGGAAAAGCAAAAGUGAGCACCCGAGAUGCCCUGCAGAAGGAAAAGUGAGCAGGGAGAAGUCCAAAAGUGAGCAACUCAAGUCCAGUGCCUGGAGAGAGUGUAUGGCAGACAGGGAGAAACAGAUUUGCUCUUAUUAAGUGAAGUACAAGCGAGGAGCUGGAGAGAUGGCUCAGCAGUUUGCUGAGGAGAAAAAGAAAAAGACAAAAGCUUCGUUGAACAUGACCCAUCCCCUUCUAGGGAACCAGGUGUGGGCAUAGUGCAAUUCCACAUUUUGGUUAAAACCCAAGGCCACCCAGCUGGUCUUAUCUUCAAAGGCAGCUCUUCCUGAGCUCUGCAGAUGUGCUACAGGGCCAGAAGACCCUUCUGCAGAGUGCUAUGGAGCCUGGGGCCUGCAGGCUGCUCUGGACAAG
rnacentral:lncRNA from 1 species